rnacentral:rRNA from 1 species
UACGGAGGGUGCAAGCGUUAUCCGGAUUCACUGGGUUUAAAGGGUGCGUAGGCGGGCUGAUAAGUCAGUGGUGAAAGCUCCGAACUUAACUUGGAAACUGCCAUUGAUACUGCCAGUCUUGAAUGUCGUAGAGGUAAGCGGAAUGUUGCAUGUAGCGGUGAAAUGCUUAGAUAUGUUACAGAACACCAAUUGCGAAGGCAGCUUACUAUGCGAUGAUUGACGCUGAGGCACGAAAGCGUGGGGAGCAAACAGG